AACGAACGCUGGCGGCAGGCCUAACACAUGCAAGUCGAGCGGACCUUUCGGGGUCAGCGGCGGACGGGUGAGUAACGCGUGGGAAUAUGCCCUUCUCUACGGAAUAGUCCUGAGAAACUGGGGGUAAUACCGUAUACGCCCUUUGGGGGAAAGAUUUAUCGGGGAAGGAUUAGCCCGCGUUGGAUUAGGUAGUUGGUGGGGUAAUGGCCUACCAAGCCGACGAUCCAUAGCUGGUUUGAGAGGAUGAUCAGCCACACUGGGACUGAGACACGGCCCAGACUCCUACGGGAGGCAGCAGUGGGGAAUCUUAGACAAUGGGGGCAACCCUGAUCUAGCCAUGCCGCGUGAGUGAUGAAGGCCUUAGGGUUGUAAAGCUCUUUCAGCUGGGAAGAUAAUGACGGUACCAGCAGAAGAAGCCCCGGCUAACUCCGUG
rnacentral:rRNA from 1 species